GACGAACGCUGGCGGCGUGCUUAACACAUGCCAGUCGAACGAUGAAGAAAAGAAUUGCAGCUUCGGCAGAAAUUCAUUUCGGAUUAGUGGCAGACGGGUGAGUAACGCGUGAGCAACCUACCUCUUACAAAGGGAUAGCCUCGGGAAACCGGGAUUAAUACCAUAUAACAUUGCGACGAAGCAUUUCGAUGCAAUCAAAGCUACGGCGGUAAGAGAUGGGCUCGCGUCCCAUUAACCAGAUGGUGAGGUAACGGCUCACCAUAGUAACGAUGGGUAACCGGACUGAGAGGGUGAACGGUCACACUGGAACUGAGACACGGUCCAGACUCCUACGGGAGGCAGCAGUGGGGAAUAUUGCACAAUGGAGGGAACUCUGAUGCAGCGACGCCGCGUGAGUGAUGAAGGAAUUCGUUUCGUAAAACUCUGUUCUAUGGGAAGAAAAGGACUGUACCAUAGGAGAAAGCUCCGGCUAAAUACGUG
rnacentral:rRNA from 1 species